GCUUCCAGUGAGGACGUUGCCGGCUCCCCGGAGCGCCACUACACGCCCUUGCCUUCUGCUUCCAGGGAACUCACCAGUCACCAAGAUGAAGUUUCAUUCUUGUCGCCCAGGCUGGAGUGCAGUGGCACGUUCUCAGCUCACUGCAACCUCCGCCUCCCCGGCUCAAGUGAUUCUCCUGUCUCAGCCUCCCAAGUAGCUGGAAAUACAGGCAUGUGCCACCAUGCCCAGCUAAUUUUGUAUUUUUAGUAAAGAUGGGGUUUCUUCAUGUGUGUCCUGGGGAAGUGUCGCUACGUUUACUAUGGGAAAAACUCAGAAGGCAACAGGUUUAUCCGAGAUGACCAGCUCUGAAGCCAAGUUCUGUAUACCUUCACCCAUUUCACGAAAAUAAAAUCAAAAGGGAAGUCAAAAAUAAAGAAAAUGCUAAAG
rnacentral:sRNA from 1 species